UACCGCGUAGCUCAGUUGGCAGAGCAUUGGGCUAGUAUUCCAAAGGUCGUAGGUUCGAUUUCCACCGUGGUCA